UACGGGGGGAGCAAGCGUUGUUCGGAAAUACUGGGCGUAAAGCGCACGUAGGCGGCGCAGCAAGUCAGGGGUGAAAUCCCGGGGCUCAACCCCGGAACUGCCCUUGAAACUGCAGUGCUAGAAUCUUGGAGAGGCGAGUGGAAUUCCGAGUGUAGAGGUGAAAUUCGUAGAUAUUCGGAAGAACACCAGUGGCGAAGGCGACUCGCUGGACAAGUAUUGACGCUGAGGUGCGAAAGCGUGGGGAGCAAACAGG
rnacentral:rRNA from 1 species